UACUCGAGUGGCGAACGGGUGAGUAACACGUGGGUGAUCUGCCCUGCACUUCGGGAUAAGCCUGGGAAACUGGGUCUAAUACCGGAUAGGAGCCAUUUUUAGUGUGAUGGUUGGAAAGUUUUUUAGGUGUAGGAUGAGCUCGCGGCCUAUCAGCUUGUUGGUGGGGUAAUGGCCUACCAAGGCGGCGACGGGUAGCCGGCCUGAGAGGGUGGACGGCCACAUUGGGACUGAGAUACGGCCCAG
rnacentral:rRNA from 1 species